rnacentral:misc_RNA from 1 species
CUCCCACUCCCACACUCACCACCAUCACCAACAUUCAAAUCAUAAUGAAGGUCAUGAAAAUCAUCAUGAAUGUAUCACUGUUUCCCAUGACUGCCAUGACAAGGCAUUGACUAGCCCCUGUGACCAUGGUGAACAUGAGCACUGUGACCACCAGGGUCGUGGGAGCUCCAAUUGCCAUAAUGGCCAUCACCAUACUCAUGAUCACCACUGCAACAAUCACAGUCACGUUGACCAUGACCACCAUGACCAUGCUCACCAUGACCAUGCUCACCAUGACCAUGCUCAUGAUCAUGAACCCCUUGACCAUCACCACGCCCAUGGGAAUUUCCCCCAUACACUUAGCCACUCUUACCAUUCAGACUCUAAAAGAAAUUCUUCCUUGAGAAAUAGUUGUUCCCAACAGAUAUCUAAUGAAGAGGAAUCACAAAAACGCCACCAUCACCACAUUGACCACAACAUGGAGGGAAUAUUUUUGCAUGUACUGGCAGACACAAUGGGAAGUGUUGGAGUUGUUAUAUCCACCCUCCUAAUUAAGUACAAAGGAUGGCUUGUUGCUGAUCCUGCCUGCUCAAUUUUUAUUUCUGUUUUGAUUGUGUCUUCAGUUAUUCCAUUACUCAGGAACUCUGCUGAAAUUCUGCUUCAAAGAGUUCCUAGGGCUCAUGAGCAAGAUCUGAGAGUAGCCGUAAAUGAUAUUAUGAAGAUUAAGGGAGUACGUGGCAUUCAGAACUUGCGUGUUUGGAGUUUUACUAAUACAGACAUUGUUGGGACUCUCCAUCUCCAUGUCUCAUCAGAAACGGACAAGGCUUCGAUGAAGGCACAGGUUUCACACAUAUUGCACGAUGCAGGAAUCAAGGAUUUAACAAUGCAGGUGGAAUGCAUCAAGUGAUUAAUGUAGUAAAUUUCGAAACGUGUUAAUCUCCCCAAAGAUUCUGGAGGACUGAAUGUGAUCAUAGCCGAAAGUUGUUCCUGAACUCCUGGAGCAAUGUUGUCAAUUGGUGCAAAAUGGAAAGAUAGCUAUUUCUCUUAUUGGGCUUGGAAGGCUUUGGCACUCCUUAAAAAGAAGGGUUUUGGCAAGCAGUAGUGAGGCUGUAUGCUUUGCUGAAUCUAAGAUGAGUAUUGAUCUUAGAGGAUCAUUCAGCCGUCAUCCACCAGUGAUAAAUUAUAGGCUAGUUUACCAGUGAAGACAUGUA